rnacentral:rRNA from 1 species
CAAUAGCGUAUAUUAAAGUUGUUGCGGUAAAAAAGCUCGUAGUCGGAUUUCUACCGAAGAUAGCCGGUCGGGUCUUCGACCUUGUAUCUGGUUUUGUCUUUGGUAUCCUCAUAGGGAACGUUUCUGCGCUUUAUUGCGUGGUGCGGUAUCUAUGACUUUUACUUUGAGGAAAUUAGAGUGUUCACGGCAGGCAAACGCCUUGAAUAUAUUAGCAUGGAAUAAUAACAUAGGAUCUUCGUCCUAUUUUGUUGGUUUCUAGGGCUAAGAUAAUGAUUAAUAGGGAUAAUUGGGGGCAUCUGUAUCAACGCGUCAGAGGUGGAAUUCUUGGAUUGCGUUGCGACAAACUACUGCGAAAGCAUUUGCCAAGGAUGUUUUCAUUGA